rnacentral:rRNA from 1 species
CCUACGUGAGGCAGCAGUGGGGAAUAUUGGGCAAUGGGCGCAAGCCUGACCCAGCAACGCCGCGUGAAGGAAGAAGGCUUUCGGGUUGUAAACUUCUUUUGUCAGGGACGAAGCAAGUGACGGUACCUGACGAAUAAGCCACGGCUAACUACGUGCGAGCAGCCGCGGUAAUACGUAGGUGGCAAGCGUUAUCCGGAUUUACUGGGUGUAAAGGGCGUGUAGGCGGGACUGCAAGUCAGAUGUGAAAACCACGGGCGCAACCUGUGGCCUGCAUUUGAAACUGUAGUUCUUGAGUACUGGAGAGGCAGACGGAAUUGCUAGUGUAGCGGUGAAAUGCGUAGAUAUUAGGAGGAAAACCAGUGGCGAAGGCGGUCUGCUGGACAGCAACUGACGCUGAGGCGCGAAAGCGUGGGGAGCAAACCGGAGUAGAUACCCUUGUAGUC